UGGUGGAGUGAUUUGUCUGCUUAAUUGCGUUAACGAACGAGACCUUAACCUGCUAAAUAGUCGCACCUAUCUUCGGAUAAGUGCCUGACUUCUUAGAGGGACUUUGUGUUUUCAGCGCAAGGAAGUUUGAGGCAAUAACA
rnacentral:rRNA from 1 species